AUGCCAUUCUUAUUCAAGGUGGAGACGCUUGGAGAGCUUGAAAUGCGGCUGUGUGAUCUCUCCUGGAGCCACCAUUUUCAGGAAGGGAAAGCUGUGAAUAAAAAGGAUGCACUUGUCAGCUCAAAGGGUUCAAGCUCAACAUUUUGUUAUGUACAGGAAAAUCCUUUCAGGGGGAAGGCAGAACAAGGCAUCACCUUUCCGAGGGUCCUCGGCCUCUUCCUGAUGAUCAGGCUGCUGCUGCUGCUAGGAGUGGCGGAUCUGGUCAGUGAGGAGAGGACCGUAUCGUCGUCGUCGCGGCCUCCGUCGGAACCUUCUUCGGCCUCGCCGUUGCGAUGA
rnacentral:rRNA from 1 species